rnacentral:rRNA from 1 species
AACGAACGCUGGCGGCAGGCUUAACACAUGCAAGUCGAGCGCACUCUUCGGAGUGAGCGGCAGACGGGUGAGUAACGCGUGGGAAUUUGCCUUAUGGUACGGAACAACAGCGGGAAACCGUUGCUAAUACCGUAUGUGCCCUUCGGGGGAAAGAUUUAUCGCCAUAAGAUGAGCCCGCGUUGGAUUAGCUAGUUGGUGAGGUAACGGCUCACCAAGGCGACGAUCCAUAGCUGGUCUGAGAGGAUGAUCAGCCACACUGGGACUGAGACACGGCCCAG